UACACUGAAGAUAUUGGUAUAGAGCCACUACUUGCAGUUGAUAGGGAUGGGAAUGUAUUAAGGGAAGAAGUGGAAAUAUUGUAUUUGCAGCAAUGGGAUGAAGAAGUACACUUUUCUGAAGCACCAUUUGAAGAACCACUAAAUGAUGAACUAAGAAAUGAAGAACCAAAUGUUGAAGAUCAAGUAGCUGAAGAACCAAGUGUUGGAAAUCAAGCAGCUACAGAACCAACUGUUGAAC
rnacentral:lncRNA from 1 species